rnacentral:misc_RNA from 1 species
UCUCCGUUGGUGAACCAGCGGAGGGAUCAUUACAGGAAUCGAAAGACUCCCUACAACCCCUGUGAACGUACCGAAACGUUGCCUCGGCGGGCGCCGCGGUAGGCCCUCUCUCCCCCCGGGGAGGGGGCUCCCCGCGGCACCCCAGCCCGCCGGCGGCCCUACAAACUCUGUCUGCAUAGCGUUGGAUCUCGGAGCAUAGCGAAAUAGUCAAAACUUUCAACAACGGAUCUCUUGGUUCUGGCAUCGAUGAAGAACGCAGC